rnacentral:rRNA from 1 species
AUGCGCGCGAGGAUGGUGAAGGCCGCGCGCGCCAGCGACGAGACGACGGCGUCGAAGGUGCACCCCCACAGAGACGUCUGCUUGAGGUUCUUCACGUCCUGCUUCUUGGAGAAGAUGAGCUGCUGCUGCUCCGACGCCACCGAGAUCUUGCUCGCCGACAUGCUGCGGCGGUGGCACCCUCCUCCGCCGCUUGCAGCAGCGUCGGCCCGCAGGAACUUCCGGAGGCCGUGCUCGGCCUCCGCGAGCUCCUCCAUGGCCCUGCGGAGCGCGGCGGUGGUGGCCACCUGCUUCUCCAACUUCCUCGCGCGCGCGUCCAUCUCCUUCCACGUGGGCGCGGCCCAGCGGUGCCGGUCGCGGCCGGCGUCGGCGAACUCCAGCAGCGCAUCCCUGAACUCCCGCAAGCAGGGGUCGGCGCAGCGCUCCGCCAGCGCGGCGACGGCGUCGGACGCGCCCCGCAGCGCGUCGACGAGCUCGGCGCGCGCGAGGCCGAGCAGGAAGGCGUCGUCGUCGGAGACGACCUUGCGGACGCCGUCGAGGUGGACGACCUCGUGGCGGAGCCGCGCCACCGCCGCGUCACCGACGGCGCGCCACACGUGGAGCAGCCUGGACACGAGGCUGGCCACCUCGAAGGCCAGGAUGCCGACGUUGCCCUUCUUGCCACCGGCGCCGGCCGGCGGCGCCCCCGACGAGGACGGCUUCGACGAGAUGGCCGACCGGACCUUGGCCAGCCAUGACUCGCGCGCCAUGGGCAUCGGUGGAUCGAUCUGUCUGUCAAUGGCACGCACCAGCAAGGAAGAGAGCAAGAGCUAG